rnacentral:misc_RNA from 1 species
GAUGAAGAACGCAGUGAAAUGCGAUAAGUAAUGCGAAUUGCAGAAUUUCCGUGAGUCAUCGAAUCUUUGAACGCACAUUGCGCCCACUGGUAUUCCGGUGGGCAUGCCUGUUCGAGCGUCAUUAUCCUCCCUCAAACCUCGGGUUUGGUGUUGGACCCAAGUUGUGUGAACAACUGGUCUCAAAGACAAUGACGGCGUCCGUGGGACCCUCGGUGCAACGAGCUUUUAGGAGCACGCGUCGAGUUUCAAGGACCUUCCGGGCCGGUCUCCUUUACUAUUUUUACAAGGUUGACCUCGGAUCAGGUAGGAAUACCCGCUGAACUUAAGCAUAUCAAUAAGCGGAGGA